rnacentral:lncRNA from 10 species
GCAGGAGAAUCGCUUGAACCCGGGAGGUGGAGGUUGCAGUGAGCCAAGAUCGCACUACUACACUCCAGCCUGGUGACAGAGUGAGACUGCAUCUCAAAAAAGAAAAAAAGAAAAAAGGAAAUGCAAAUAUUUGAGUAAAAAUAUGUGAAACAUAUUGAAAUUUACAUUUUUAAAUUUAUGCUUUAUAUACUGAAAAGUUCACUUUAUUUGUUGCAUAAUUUUAUGAGUUUUGACAAACGCACAGAUUUGUGUAACCACCACCACAAGCAAGAUACAAAAUUAUUUCACCUGUCAAUAAAAUUCCUCCAUGCUACCUUUUGAAAGUCAGAUUCUCUAACCACUCUUAGCCUCUUGCAGCCACUAUCUAGUCUUUGGGCCUGUAUGUUUGCCUUUUUUAGAAUAUUAUAUAAAUGGAAUCAUACAAUAUGCAGUCUUUGAAUCUGGUAUCUUUUACUUAACACAAUGCAAUUGAGAUCCUUCCGUGUUGUUUUGUGUACCAAUACUUCUGUUUUUCUUGCUGUUAGAAACAAGUGCCUGGUGCCGCAGAGAAAACCAGCACAAAGGCAGAAAAUUCCUCAGCAAGAGAAAUUUACUUCUGCAGAAGGGUGCAGGUUAUGCCAGUCAUGAUCACAAGAGAACACCGAGAAGGGCAGGGCAGGGGUUUUUAUCCCUGAUGCAGUUCCUAGCACUUCUGUGUCCCUUCCCCAUUGGCUGGGAUUAGACCUCACAAUCAAAGCUAACUCGAUUGGCUAAGGUUUAAAAUUGACAGGGUCUAUUAGGCGGGAAGGAAGGGGGACUGUCCAUUACUAAGCGGGAAGGCAUAUCCGGACUUGUCUGGGCAUGGCAAAGGCGGGAAGGUUGUUUACAGAACAGGUAGCUUGGAGACAAGGAAGUACAAGGAAGUUGGUCUUGAGCAACAAACAACAGGGAACUAAAGCUUUCUGAAGAGUAAUUUGUCAACUCUGACAUUGCUGACUCCUAUUUCUUGGUAUGGAUUUACCAGCUUCCUUGUCCAUUCCCCAGUCCAGGGAUAUGCAAGUUGUUUCCAAUUGGGAGAAAUUGUAAAUAAAUAAAAUAUUUUUAAGUUUAAGAUUUGAAAAGAUUGUAAAAAACACUAAUAUACACCUAUGGUAUGGGCUUGGGGAAAUGUUUAUUCCCAGUGUAUUAAUCAGGAUUCUCCAGAGAAACAGAACCAAUAGGAGGGAGUAAGGGAGAAAGAGACAUUGAUGAUGAGAAAUUGGUUCACAUGUCUAUGGAGGCUAAGAAGUCCAACAAUCUGUCAUUUGCAAGCUGGAAAUCCAAGAAUGCUGGUGGUGUAAUUCUGGUAUGAGUCCAAAGGCUUGAGAACCACGGAAGCCAAUGGUGUAAAUCCCAGUGCAAGGACAGGAAAGGAUAAGAUGAAAUGUCCCAACUCAACAAUGAGGCAGAAAAUAUGGGUGAAUUCCUCCUCUCUGCCUUGUGUUCUAUCCAGGCCCUUAGGGGAUUGAAUGAUGUCCAUACACAUACGGAGGGCAAUCUGCUUUACUGAGUCUACUGAUUCAAAUGCUAAUCUCAUCUGUACACACCCUCACAGAUGCACCCAUAAGUAAUGUUUAAUCCAGACACCCUGUGACCAAGUCAAGUUUACACAUAAAAUUAACCAUUAACCAUCACAGCUAUUCUAUUUUUUUUUUUUUUUUUUUUUUUUUUUGAGACAGAGACAGAGUUUUGCUCUUGUUGCCCAGGCUGCAGUGCAAUGGCAUGAUCUUGGCUCACUGAAACCUCUGCCUCCCGGGUUCAAGUGAGUCUCUCAAGUAGCUGGGAUUACAGGCAUGUGCUACCGUGCCUGGCUAAUUUUUUGUAUUUUUCCUAAAGACGGGGUUUCUCCAUGUUGUUCAGGCUGGUCUCGAACUCCCGACCUCAGGUGAUCCACCAGUCUCGGCCUCCCAAAGUGCUGAGAUUACAGGCCUGAGCCACCACACCUGGCCACAGCUAUUCAUUUUUACGGUGAAUUUGAUUAACUCUGGAGGCUCAUUUUUUCCUCUCAUUUCUUCUUCGGUUUUUGUACCUUUUUCCCUUUUACAUUUCGUUGACACCUAAUAAUUGUGCAUAUUUAGGGGAUAUAGACUGAUAUUUUGACAUGUGUAUAAAAUGUAUAAUGAUCAAAUCAGGUUAAUUAGCAUAUCCCUCACCUCAGACAUUUGUGUGUGUGUUGUAAGCAUUCAAAAUCCUCUCUUCUAGCUUUUUGAAAAUACACAAUAAAUUACAGUCAAUUAUAUUUAUCCUACAGGGCUGUGGAACACCAGAGCUCAUUUCUUCUAUCUAGCUGUAAUUUUGUAUUCAUAUACCAACCUUUCCCCAUCCUGCCCUCCCCACUACCCCCUCACCCUCUAAUGCCCAUAAUUCUACUCACUACUUCUAUGAGCCCCAAUUUUUUUAGCUCCCAAAUAUAAGUGAAAAUGUGCAGUAAUUAUCUUUCUGUGUCUGACUUAUUUCACUUAAUGACAUCCAGGCCUAUCCAUGUUGUGGCAAAUGACAGGAUUUCAUUUUUAUAGCAGAGUAAUAUUCCACUGUGUUUAUAUACCAGAUUUUCUUUUUCCAUUGAUGUGUUGGUGGACGUUUAGGUUGAUAUUAUAUUUUGGCUAUUGUGAAUAGUGUUGCUAUAAACACAGGAGUGCAGGUAUCCCUUUGAUAUAUGGAUUUCCCUUCCUUUGGAUAUGUGCCCAGCAGUGUGAUUGUUGGAUUGUAUGGUAGUUCCGUUUUAUUUUUUAAGAAACCUCCACACUGUUUUAUAUAGUGGUUGUACCAAUUUACAUUCCCACCAACAGUGUCUAAGAGUUCCCUUUUCUAUGCAUCCUUACCAGCACUUAUUUAUUUUUCUUAUAAUAGACAUUCUAACUAGGGUGAGAUGAUGCCUCAUUGUGAUUUUGAUUGGCAUUUCCCUGAUGAUUAGUGAUGCUGGACAUUUUUCAUACAUUUGUUAGCCAUUUGUAUGUCUUCUUUUAAGAAAUAAUUAUUCAGAUCCUUUGCCUGCAUUUUAAUCAGAUUACUUUUGUUUUUGUUUUUGCCAUCGAGUUGUUUGAGUUAUUUGUAUAUUCAGGAUAUUUGUCCCUUUUGGAUAAAUAGUUUGCAAGUAUUCCCUACCAUUCUACAAGUUGUCUCUUCACUUCCAUAAUUGUUUCCUUUGCUGUGCAGCUUUUUAGUUUAAUACAGUCCCACUUCUUUUUGUUGUUGUUGUCUGUGCUUUUGUUUGUUUGUUUAUUUUGAGACAGAGUCUCACCCUGUUGCACAGGCUGGAGUGCAGUGGUGUGAUUAUAGCUCACUGUAGCCUCUACCUCCUGGGCUCAAGUGAUCCUCCUGCCUCAGCCUCCCGAGCAGCUGGGAUUACAGGUGCCCACCAGCAUGCCUGGCUAAAUUCUGUAUUUGUAGUAGAGAUGGGGAUUCACCAUGUUGCCCAGGCUGGUCUCGAACUCCUGUGCUCAAGAAUCUGCCCACCUCACCCUCCCAAAGUGCUAGGAUUACAGGUGUACACCACUAUGCCUGGCCUGUCUGUGCUUUUUUUUUUUUUUUUUUUUUUUUUUUGAGAUGGAGUCUCACUGUGUUGCCAGGCUGGAGUGCAUUGGCUUCAACCUGGCUCACUGCAAUCUCUGCCUCCUGGGUUCAAGCAAUUCUCCUGCCUCAGCCUCCCAAGUAGCUGGGAUUACAAGUGUGCACCACCACACCCAGCUAAUUUGUGUGUGUGUGUGUAUUUUUAGUAGAGAUGGGUUUUCACCAUGUUGGCCUCAAUCUCCUGACCUUGUGAUCCACCCACCUUGGCCUCCCAAAGUACUAGGAGUGCAUCACCAUGCCUGGCCCUGUCUGUGCUUUCUAAGUCUUAGUCAUAAAACUUUUGCCUAGGCCAAUGCCCUGAAGAGUUUGCUCUAGGUUUUCUUCUAGUAUGUUUACAGUUUUGGUCUUAUGUUUAAGUCUUUAAUCCAUUUUGAGUUGAUUUUUGUAUACGGUGACAGGUAGGGAUCAAGUUUUGUCCUUCUGCAUAUGGAUAUCCAGUUUUCCCAGCACAAUUUAUUGAACAGGUGGCCCUUUACACAAUGUACGUUCUUGGCAUUUUAAUUAAACGUUAAAGGACUUAUAAUAUUAUAAUUCCACUUAUAUGACUUUGUAAUAAUAAAUUAUUGUUGAUAUAUGUGCAAGUAUAUUUAAAUCAAUCAGAGUUCAAAUGGUAACAGAGAGAUCACUCAAGUAUUACAACUGAGAGAAUUUGAUGAAGAUUAUUUAAAGCAGGUGUUUUAAUGGUAAAAAUGAACACUGAGCUAACACAGGAUGACAACAUCAGGUAGCAGCUACCUGUCUAGGGCUGGGAAACAAUGGAAAAGAUUAAGGUUCUCGGAACCUAGAAACUCACAAGAGUGGCCCCAGAGAGCUAGAAUUAGACAAGACAGCGGAGGCAGGGGCAGUGCCAGGAUCAUGCUGGUACCUCAGGUAUUCAGAGAAGAGCUUUGCAGAACUGGAAUUCAGAUGCUGUCCAGUUGCUAACUGAACUUUCAGGAAGGCAUGUUGAAGCACAUUGUGUUCACCUCUGAAAGUCGUUACUGUCCAGCUGGUGCUAGUAGCCAGAGUGGGAUCAAUGUGGAGAGUUCUGGGAGAGCUAAAAGAAGCUGGAGGGUGAUCAACAUGUUCUGGAAUUAGAUAGUGGUGAUGGUUGUGUAACUUUGUGACUAUAAUUAUUGAAUUACACACUUUUAAAGGAGUAAAUUUUGUAUGUAAAUUGUAUGCCAAUGUUACAAAUACUUUUUUUUUUUUUUAGACGGAGUCUAGCUCUGUCACCAGGCUGGAGCACAGUGGCAUGAUCUCGACUCACUGCAACCUCCACUGAAGAAGGAAUUCAUGAAUUUUACAAGUAUAAUCAAAGACCACCAAGAAAUUUUUACUUUUUCCUUCAAAAGCUAAGUGUAGUGUAGCACCCCCUGCCCAUAGUCUAAGUUACAGAAGAAUACUAACUGCCUGUUUUUCUUUCUGUGUUGUGAGCCUUAUCUGUUCUCACCAGUUUCACAUUCCUUGAGGCUCAGUGAGUUCCUGCGCACCUCCCUAGCACAGCUGCAAAGUUACAAGGUUGAUAUGCAUAUGUUACAGAAACAUAGUUUCCCAAGGAUGUGGAACAUGUAGUAUAGAUAAAUGUAAAAGACUGAUCAACUGCCUUUGUUCUCGCUUGUGUAAGUAGACUUCAUGAAUCACAUAGCUCCCGGCCACUGACUGCUUAAAAGGUGGCUGCAUUCUUUCUCCAGGGCUCAGACUUUCCUGGACGCUAGUCCUACUGAGCCAGGUGAUCCCCUUAAUAAAGGCUUUCCUGAACUCUCUUCAGUCUCUCCCGUCUCUGAUUGUCCCAUAACAUUUCUGGGGGCCUGUCUGGGAUUGGAGAUGGCAGGUUUCUGUCUCCUUUGCCUGUGGGCUAAAGCCACAGGACGCGGGAGAUUUGGGAACUUUGGUGCCACUGGGGAAGACUUAGCCCAGAAGGAGAACGGCUCCCAUGUAUUGGAGCCUCGCCCUGACAGCGCAAACGGAACCGACUCAGGAGUUGCAGGACAGUCACAGGAGCAGUGCGCUGGCAGACUACUGAACCGCCAUAAGGUUGGGCCCUGGAAAAGCCCAUCCCAUAAGGACAGAAGGGGAGCUUGAUUACCUUCCCCGGAACGAUCACUUAUCCAACCCAGAGUGGCUGGGGGCAGCAGGAGUGGCCUGCCAAUUUGGAUGAAUCUCGUGUCCCCACACAAGCAAAAGUGGUUCACUGGAUCUGGAGACAGAAACUGGGAGUGUUUUGGUGUGUGUGAACCUACUCGGGACAUAAAGAAGGCUUCUUUCAUCUGAUCAGUCCUGGGAAGCAUCCAGUCUACUAUGGAAGCAAUAGUGGACCGAAAAACUACCACCAAAAUAAUGGCAUUACAAAAAUACCAACCUGUCCCCCAGGAAGAAUAUGAGCCUACACAGGAAGAGAUAAAUGAUUGUGGUGCUCUUUAUUAAUCUACAUUUAUGGUGAGCACCAAAGGUGGGGGAUGAAGAAGGAAUUCAUGAAUUUUACAAGUAUAAUCAAAGACCAAGAAAUUUUCACUUUUUCCCUCAAAAGCUAAGUGUAGUGUAGCCCCCACUCCCUGUCCCGUAGUCCAAGUUAGAGAAGAAUACUAACUGCCUGUUUUUCCUUCUGCGCUCAGCAAGCCUUAUCUGUACUCACCGGUUUCAUAUUCCUUGAAGCUCAGCGAGUUCCUGCUUCACCUCACCAGCACAGCUGCAAAGGUCUACGUGGGCUUUGUUGCCUGCCCCUCCCUGAUGUCCGCGAGCUGCCCCAGAGAUGCUGAGAUGCUCCAAAAUCUCCAGCAGGAUACAGGAGGGUGAUGGAGGGUCUGAAAUUGCAAAGGAUCAGUAAGGAAGUCUGGUGCUUGGAUAUAGAGGGACAGGACUGGUUGGCAUCAGCCAUGGGCAGCCUGCAUAGAAACAGGCUAAGCUGGAGGCCCAGAGUAAGGUGUGCAAGGCCCUGGGGAAACAAUGAUGAAUGAUAUCCUCAAGGGACACAGGGUCUAACAGAAGAUAGAAUUUUACAGAAAGAUGAUUCUGGCUUCUCUGUUCUAUGCUGGAGUAGAAUUACAUACCAGGGACCAAGGUGGGCAAAUAUGGAGUGCCUAACUCUGGGUAUGGGAGUCUGAGAAAGUUUCCCAAAGGAGAAGGCAGACUCAUAGUAUCAGUGAAAAAUGCUUUAUUAAAAGUGGCUGCCAAACGGAGAGAGAGAUCUGCCCUCUCAGGGAGUUGGGGUGAUGGUGGGAGUGGUGGUGGAUUCUGAAAAGCUUCACAGAAAAAUUGAUACGAAAGGCUUUGCAGGAUUAUGAGGGGUGUGUAAUCUUGAAAUGCAGAGGGAACCAGACUGGCAAAUGUUUGGUAGCACAGAAGUAUACAGCGCCUUUGGUAAAUGAUGUGUAGUACAGUGGCUAGAAUGUAGGUGUAGGAUGGAAGUCCAAUGUAGUGCCCGAGUGUAGAGGGCUUUGAAUUUUAUAUGAAGGAGUCUGACUAUUACAGCAGGUACUUGAAUAAUGUCAUUUCGUUCAGUAUCAUUUCAUUGUAAUGUUGAUAAGAAAAAACAAUCAACUCCCAGCUGGCCACUUCCUGUGUGUCCUUUACACAUUCUCCCCAGGUCCACAUGGGUUUUCACUGGGUACUCCCAGUUUCCUCCCACAUCUCAAAGAUGUGCCCAUUAUGUGAACUAUCAUUUCUAAAUAGUCCCCAUUUGAGCUCUGUGUGUGUGUGUGUGUGUGUGUGUGUGUGUGUGUGUAUGUACACUCUGCCAUAUGAUGGCACCCUAUUCCAGAUCCAGGGCUGGUUCUGCCUAGCGCCCUGAGUUGCUAGGAGAGACUCCGGCCACCCAUGACCCCUAGCUAGAAUAGGUGGGUAAAUAAUAAUCUUACUUGUUUUUAUCACUGAUAAAGGGAGUUUUUUCCUGCUUUGUAUUAGUCGCAAAGCAAGAAAACCCAAUCAGAAACAAGGCCAAGUGGGUUUUUUCCCUGCCUGGGAUGGAGAAGAAAAGAGUUCUUGCUCUAAAGACACCCUUUCCCUGAAAAAUGGAAGGCAUGGAGUUUUUAAGAACUAGGUACGGGGAGGGAGAACAACGUUAGCAUGAGCAGGGUGGAACUCUAGGUGCACAGGUUCAGUGCAUAUAAACAUACAUCUUUAUACAACUCAUGUCACAAAAUGGCAAGAUUUUCUUUGGCAGAGGGAAUUUUAGUAUCAUAGUGAUAUGUUAAUGAUCUAGGCCAGAAGCGGUGGCUGACGCCUAUAAUCCCAGCACUUUAGGAGGCUGAGGCAUGUGGAUCACCUGAGGUGAGGAGCUCAAGACCAGCAUGGCCAACAUGGUGAAACCCAGUCUGUACUGAAAGAAAAAUACACAACAAAAUUAGCCAGAUAAGUUGG